UACGUAGGAUGCGAGCGUUGUCCGGAAUUAUUGGGCGUAAAGCGAACGUAGGCGGCCAUCUAAGUUUGGUCUUAAAGACCGGGGCUCAACCCCGGGAAUGGACUGAAUACUGGGUGGCUGGAGCGUGUUAGAGGAAAGUGGAAUUCCAGGUGUAGCGGUGAAAUGCGUAGAUAUCUGGAGGAACACCGGUGGCGAAAGCGACUUUCUGGGACAUUGCUGACGCUGAGGUUCGAAAGCUCGGGGAGCAAACAGG
rnacentral:rRNA from 1 species